GAUGAAGAACGUAGCGAAAUGCGAUAAGUAAUGUAAAUUGCAGAAUUCAGUGAAUCAUCGAAUCUUUGAACGCACCUUGCACCCUUUGGCAUUCCGAAGGGUAUGCUCGUUUGAGUGUCAUUGUACUCUCACUCUCCCGAUGCUUUUGGAUCGGGAGUGGUGGACUUGGGUGUUGCUGCUUUGCUGUGGCUCGCCUCAAAUGGAGUAGUGCAACUCUUGGUUGGACAUAGUACGGCGUGAUAAGUGUCUUCGCCGGCGCCUCAUUAUAGAGGGUGGCCGAUCGGGAGCUCUGUGCUUCAAACCGUCUUCGGACAACAUCUGACAACUUGACCUCAAAUCGAGUAGGACUACCCGCUGAACUUAAGCAUAUCAAUAAGCGGAGGA
rnacentral:misc_RNA from 1 species